UACGUAGGGGGCAAGCGUUGUCCGGAUUUAUUGGGCGUAAAGAGCGUGUAGGCGGCCUUACAGGUCAGCUGUGAAAACUCGAGGCUCAACCUCGAGACGUCGGUUGAAACCGUAAGGCUAGAGUCCGGAAGAGGAGAGUGGAAUUCCUGGUGUAGCGGUGAAAUGCGCAGAUAUCAGGAAGAACACCCGUGGCGAAGGUGGCUCUCUGGGACGGUACUGACGCUGAGACGCGAAAGCGUGGGGAGCGAACAGG
rnacentral:rRNA from 1 species